rnacentral:rRNA from 1 species
GUUUAAUUCGAAGCAACGCGAAGAACCUUACCAGGUCUUGACAUCCUUUGACCACUCUGGAGACAGAGCUUUCCCUUCGGGGACAAAGUGACAGGUGGUGCAUGGUUGUCGUCAGCUCGUGUCGUGAGAUGUUGGGUUAAGUCCCGCAACGAGCGCAACCCUUGAUUUUAGUUGCCAGCAUUUAGUUGGGCACUCUAAAGUGACUGCCGGUGCAAGCCGGAGGAAGGUGGGGAUGACGUCAAAUCAUCAUGCCCCUUAUGACCUGGGCUACACACGUGCUACAAUGGAUAGUACAAAGGGUCGCGAAGCCGCGAGGUGGAGCUAAUCCCAUAAAACUAUUCUCAGUUCGGAUUGUAGGCUGCAACUCGCCUACAUGAAGCCGGAAUCGCUAGUAAUCGUGGAUCAGCAUGCCACGGUGAAUACGUUCCCGGGCCUUGUACACACCGCCCGUCACACCACGAGAGUUUGUAACACCCGAAGUCGGUAGGGUAACCUUUAUGGAGCCAGCCGCCGAAGGUGGGACAGAUAAUUGGGGUGAAGUCGUAACAAGGUAGCCGUAUCGGAAGGUGCGGCUGGAUCACCUCCUUUCUAAGGAA